rnacentral:rRNA from 1 species
GUUGUAGUCUGGAGAAGUGCUUUCCGCGCUGGACCGUGUAUAAGUCUCUUGGAACAGAGCGUCAUAGAGGGUGAGAAUCCCGUCUUUGACACGGACUACCAGUGCUUUGUGAUGCGCUCUCAAAGAGUCGAGUUGUUUGGGAAUGCAGCUCAAAAUGGGUGGUGAAUUCCAUCUAAAGCUAAAUAUUGGCGAGAGACCGAUAGCGAACAAGUACCGUGAGGGAAAGAUGAAAAGCACUUUGGAAAGAGAGUUAAACAGUACGUGAAAUUGCUGAAAGGGAAACGCUUGAAGUCAGUCGCGUUUGCCGGAACUCAGCCUUCCUUUUGGUUGGUGCACUUUCCGGUAGACGGGCCAGCAUCGAUUUCGACCGUCGGAUAAGGGCUGGGGAAAUGUGGCACCUUUCGGGGUGUGUUAUAGUCCUCAGUCGCAUACGUCGGUUGGGAUCGAGGAUCGCAGCGCGCCGCAAGGCAGGGGUUCGCCCACUUUCGCGCUUAGGAUGCUGGCAUAAUGGCUUUAAACGACCCGUCUUGAAACACGGACCAAGGAGUCUAACAAACCUGCGAGUGUUUGGGUGGAAAACCCGAGCGCGUAAUGAAAGUGAAAGUUGAGACCUCUGUCGUGGAGGGCAUCGACGCCCGGACCUGAAGUYYUCUGACGGUUCCGCGGUAGAGCAUGUUUGUUGGGACCCGAAAGAUGGUGAACUAUGCCUGAAUAGGGUGAAGCCAGAGGAAACUCUGGUG